UACGUAGGGUGCAAGCGUUGUCCGGAAUUAUUGGGCGUAAAGAGCUCGUAGGCGGCCUGUCGCGUCGGAUGUGAAAAUCCAAGGCUCAACCUUGGACCUGCAUUCGAUACGGGCAGGCUAGAGUUCGGUAGGGGAGACUGGAAUUCCUGGUGUAGCGGUGAAAUGCGCAGAUAUCAGGAGGAACACCGGUGGCGAAGGCAGGUCACUGGGCCGCAACUGACGCUGAGGAGCGAAAGCAUGGGGAGCGAACAGG
rnacentral:rRNA from 1 species